GCGGGGGUGCCGGAGUGGUCAAACGGGAUAGGCUUAGGACCUAUUGGCACAUGCCUACGAAGGUUCGAAUCCUUCCUCCCGCA
rnacentral:tRNA from 1 species